CCCUUAGAUGUUCUGGGCCGCACACGCGCUACACUGAAGGAGGCAGCGUGUACUCCUGGAUCGAAAGAUUUGGGUAACCCGCGAAUCUCCUUCGUGCUAGGGAUUGAGGUUUGCAAUUAUCCUUCAUGAACGAGGAAUUCCCAGUAAGUGCAAGUCAUAAGCUUGCGCUGACUACGUCCCUGCCCUUUGUACACACCGCCCGUCGCUACUACCGAUUGAAUGAUUUAGUGAGGACUUCGGACUGGGACCGAUGCGGCUUUCGGGCUGCGUCGGUAUUCUGGAAAGACGUCCAAACUGUAUCAUUUAGAGGAAGUAAAANUCGUANCA
rnacentral:rRNA from 1 species